AACGCGAAGAACCUUACCCAGGCUUGACAUGCACUAGACAGCGCCAGAAAUGGCGUCUCCUUUCGGGGCUGGUGCACAGGUGCUGCAUGGCUGUCGUCAGCUCGUGCCGUGAGGUGUUUGGUUAAGUCCAGCAACGAGCGCAACCCUUAUCAUUAGUUGCCAACACGUUAUGGUGGGAACUCUAAUGAGACUGCCUGGGUUAACCAGGAGGAAGGUGAGGAUGACGUCAAGUCCGCAUGGCCCUUAUGUCUGGGGCUACACACGUGCUACAAUGGUCGGUACAGAAGGCAGCGAAACCGCGAGGUGAAGCAAAUCCCUAAAACCGGCCCCAGUUCAGAUUGUAGUCUGCAACUCGACUACAUGAAGACGGAAUUGCUAGUAAUGGCGAGUCAGCUACAUCGCCGUGAAUACGUUCCCGGGCCUUGUACACACCGCGCAUA
rnacentral:rRNA from 1 species